GCCAAAAACACUAAGGAAAAAUAAGAGAGAGUUCGGCCAAGGCAAGGAAAACAUAACUUCUUGAAAUUUCAUCCCAAAAAUUACUUUCUCUUAGUAUUCCUACUAUAUCAAGGGUCCUUUAUAACAUGGUAAACUUAUUUUGGAAGAUAGAAGGCUUAUUUGGUUGAUUUGAAGUUUUGGUUAAGUGAUGAAGUUAGAAGGAAAAGAUUUUGAUGGAAACGGGAAUUGAAGUUGGACAACCGUAAAAAGCCGAUAAGGUACCGAAGUUUGAUUUGCUGAUCCGACGGUUUAGGACAUCUGCUGUGUUAUUGACAGUGCUCCCUUGUUCGGAGCUUGUAUUUUGGUACUGACUUUAUCUUUGUAUAUUUGGAUAUGUUGGUCAGGGGUACGACGGGGCCCUGUCCCAUUUUAUGACUAUGCUAUCAUCUUUAGAGGUCUGUAGACAGAGUUAUGUUGUGGGUUUUGUAUAUAUGGUUUGGGUUUUAUAUGUUUUGUGACGGUCUAUCAACCCUCGUGCCUAUAUCUACUUUUAUGAUAUAUUUAGCAAUUUCUACUAAUCACUACAUAUGUUUAUUCGGUUAAAAAGGCUAAUUUGGGAUUAGGAUACGUUUGGGUGCCCAACUCGGGCACUAGUCGCGGCCUACAAGGUUGGUUCUUGACAAGUGUACUUCAUAUAAAUAGUGAGAUUCUU